rnacentral:rRNA from 1 species
GACGAACGCUGGCGGCGUGCUUAACACAUGCAAGUCGAGCGGAGCGGCGAACGGGUGCGUAACGCGUGAGUAAAUGCCCCCCUCUCUGGGAUAGCAGUUGGACACGGCUUCUAAUAACGGAUAUUUGGGGAUGAAUCGCGUCCUAUGCACUUGUUGGUGGGGUAGUGGCCUACCAAGGCGACGACGGGUAGCCGGCCUGAGAGGGCGACCGGCCACAUUGGGCUGAGAUACGGCACAAACGCCUACGGGAGGCAGCAGUGGGGAAUAUUGCACAAUGGGGGAAACCCUGAGGCAGAAACGCCGCGUGCGGGAUGACGGCCUUCGGGUUGUAAACCGCUUUCAGCCAUGACGCGGUAGUUGCAGAAGAAGCACCGGCUAACUACGUGCCAGCCGCCGCGGUAAUUC